UGGUUUGGUCAGCGGGGGACGGGAGAGUAACACGUGGGCGACCUGCCCGCAAGACCGGGAUAACUCCGGGGAACCGGAGCUAAUACCGGAUAACACCGAAGACCGCAUGGUCUUUGGUUGUAAGGGGGCCUUUGGCUGUCACUUGCGGAUGGGCCCGCGGCGCAUUACCUAGUUGGUGAGGUAACGGCUCACCAAGGCGACCAUGCGUACCCGGCCUGAAAGGGUGACCGGCCACACUGGGACUGAGACACGGCCCACACUCCUACGGGAGGCAGCAGUAGGGAAUCUUCCGCAAUGGGCGAAAGCCUGACGGAGCAACGCCGCGUGAGCGACGAAGGCCUUCUGGUCGUAAUGCUCUGUUGUGAGGGACCAAGGAGCGCCGUUCAAAAAGGGCGGCUCGGUGACGGUACCUCACUCGGAACCCCCGGCUAACUACGUGCCAGCACCCGCGGUCAUACGUAGGGGGCGAACGUUGUCCGGAAUUAUUGGGCGUAAUGCGUGCGCCGGCCGUGCCCUCACUCUGAUGUGCUUUCCAAUGUUCAACCGUGCAGGGUCAUUGUACACUGGUGGACUUGAGUACAAGAGAAGAUACAGGAAUUCCACUUGUAUCUGUGUAC
rnacentral:rRNA from 1 species